rnacentral:lncRNA from 1 species
GUUGUGCCGGGCAUUCCCCGGCACUCUCAAGGGCAGUGCCUAUCGAUGGUUCUCUGGUCUACCAGCUGGGUCAAUCUCCAGCUUCACGGACCUCUCAUCCAAAUUCAUCGCCCAACAUGUGGGGAUGAUUAGGAUCAAACACAGUGCCAACGCACUGCUGGCGCUACGACAGAACAAACUGUCGUUAAGGGAUUAUACAAUCAAGUUCACCUCAAUGAUGACAGAGGUGAGCGAUUUAAUCCCCAGUCUGGCCAUAGCGGGAUACACAAACGGGCUUGUACCCUACUCCCCUCUGGCACAACAUCUUACCCUCCACAAGGUGGAGACUCUACCUGACCUCUUCCAGCAAGCUC